rnacentral:tRNA from 1 species
CAGGAGAUAGUUUAAUGUAAAAUGCCAGCUUUGGGAGUUGGAGAUGGAGGUUUAAGUCCUCUUUUCCUGA